CUAUACAUGACUCUGUGCAUAUCAAUAAGCGGAGGAAAAGAAACUAACAAGGAUUCCCUUAGUAACGGCGAGUGAAGCGGGAAGAGCUCAAAUUUGAAAUCUUAAAGGGUUUCCCUUGACGAAUUGUAGUUUAAAGAAGUGUUUUCUGCUUAGUUGGAGUGGCAAAAGUUCUUUGGAAUAGGACAUCAUAGAGGGUGAGAAUCCCGUAUUUGAUCAUUAUUUCAGCUUUGUGAUACACUUUCAAAGAGUCGGAUUGUUUGGGAAUGCAGUCCAAAAUGGGUGGUAAAUUUCAUCUAAAGCUAAAUAUUGGCGAGAGACCGAUAGCGAACAAGUACCGUGAGGGAAAGAUGAAAAGAACUUUGAAAAGAGAGUUAAACAGUACGUGAAAUUGUCAAAAGGGAAGCGUUUGACACCAGUGUUGUUUUCUCGAAAAUCAAUUAAAAAUGGCUCGAUUUUGUAUUGUUGAGACCUUAAAAGCUCACUGUACAUUUUUCGUGUCUUUUUUAAUGCACUUUUCGUUUAACAAGUCAACAUCAGUUUCUUUUGUUGUAAAAGGGUCAUUGGAAGGUGGCUUUCUUUUCGGAGAAAGUGUUUAUAGCCUUUAGGCCUCUGCAAUCGGAGAGACUGAGGUCUGCAGCGUAGACUCUUCGGGGUUAGAUACAUUUGUGCUAAGUUAUAGCUUUUUAUAGACAACUUGUUGACUAUGAUUAGUCUUGUAGCUUACUCGCUUAUGCUAUUUUACCUACGCUUAGGAUGUUGACAGCAGUAUAGACUGU
rnacentral:rRNA from 1 species